rnacentral:rRNA from 1 species
UACGUAGGGUGCGAGCGUUGUCCGGAAUUAUUGGCGUAAAGAGCUCGUAGGCGGUCUGUCGCGUCGAUCGUGAAAACUUGGGGCUUAACCCUGAGCUUGCGGUCGAUACGGGCAUGACUGGAGUUCGGCAGGGGAGAACUGGAAUUCCUGGUGUAGCGGUGAAAUGCGCAGAUAUCAGGAGGAACACCGAUGGCGAAGGCAGGUCUCUGGGCAUUAACUGACGCUGAGGAGCGAAAGCAUGGGGAGCGAA